AGAGUUUGAUCAUGGCUCAGAAUAAACGUUGGCGGCGUGCUUAACACAUGCAAGUCGCGCGAGAAAGCUCCUUCGGGAGUGAGUACAGCGGCGGACGGGUGCGUAACACGUAAGAAUUUGCCCUUCAGUGAGGAAUACCCACGAGAAAUUGUGGUUAAUACUGCAUACGUUCCCUCGGGAAGAAAGGUGGCUUUAUGCUGCCGCUGAAGGAUAAGCUUGCGCGCUAUUAGCUAGUUGGUGGGGUAAAGGCCUACCAAGGCGAUGAUGGCUAGCCGGCCUGAGAGGGUGUACGGCCACAUUGGGACUGAGAUACGGCCCAGACUCCUACGGGAGGCAGCAGUGAGGAAUAUUGCGCAAUGGGCGAAAGCCUGACGCAGCGACGCCGCGUGGAGGAUGAAGGUUUUCGGAUCGUAAACUCCUGUUAAGUGGGAAGAAAGCUCGAUCUCUAACAUAGAUCGAGGAUGACGGUACCACUAGAGAAAGCACCGGCUAACUUCGUGCCAGCAGCCGCGGUAAUACGAGGGGUGCAAACGUUAUUCGGAUUUACUGGGCGUAAAGGGUGUGUAGACGGCAUACUAAGUUCGUUGUUUAAUCUUCCGGCCUAACCGGAAGCUCGCGAUGGAAACUGGUAAGCUAGAGGUUGGAAGAGAGAAGCGGAAUUCUCGGAGUAGCGGUAAAAUGCGUAGAUCUCGAGAGGAACACCGAUGGCGAAGGCAGCUUCUUGGUCCAUACCUGACGUUGAGACACGAAAGCGUGGGUAGCAAACAGGAUUAGAUACCCUAGUAGUCC
rnacentral:rRNA from 1 species